rnacentral:rRNA from 1 species
UAGUACGAGAGGACCGGAGUGGACGAACCUCUGGUGUUCCGGUUGUCACGCCAGUGGCAUUGCCGGGUAGCUAUGUUCGGAAAAGAUAACCGCUGAAAGCAUCUAAGCGGGAAACUUGCCUCAAGAUGAGAUCUCACUGGGAACUUGAUUCCCCUGAAGGGCCGUCGAAGACUACGACGUUGAUAGGCUGGGUGUGUAAGCGUUGUGAGGCGUUGAGCUAACCAGUACUAAUUGCCCGUGAGGCUUGACCAUAUAACACCCAAACA